rnacentral:rRNA from 1 species
UGGGGAAUAUUGCACAAUGGGCGCAAGCCUGAUGCAGCCAUGCCGCGUGUAUGAAGAAGGCCUUCGGGUUGUAAAGUACUUUCAGCGGGGAUGAAGGGAGUAAAGUUAAUACCUUUGCUCAUUGACGUUACCCGCAGAAGAAGCACCGGCUAACUCCGUGCCAUCAGCCGCGGUAAUACGGAGGGUGCAAGCGUUAAUCGGAAUUACUGGGCGUAAAGCGCACGCAGGCGGUCUGUCAAGUCGGAUGUGAAAUCCCCGGGCUCAACCUGGGAACUGCAUUCGAAACUGGCAGGCUAGAGUCUUGUAGAGGGGGGUAGAAUUCCAGGUGUAGCGGUGAAAUGCGUAGAGAUGUGGAGGAAUACCGGUGGCGAAGGCGGCCCCCUGGACAAAGACUGACGCUCAGGUGCGAAAGCGUGGGGAGCAAACAGG